CAGAGUGAGACUCCAUCUCAAAAAAAAAAAAAAUCUCUCAGGGUUGUCUAUCUGAUGGUUAACCAGAAGAGGCAUUCAUCUGCAGCUCCCACCGCCCCCUGUUCGAAGGUUACACUGGAGCCAUUAACUCCCUCACAGUCAGGGCCGUGCACAUGUGGGUGCUAAGUGGGCUCCCAUUAGUGUCCACAGCAUUGUAGAAAUCCCAAAAUAGAGAAAGCAAAAGACAUGGGCUGGCUCUUAAGGCAAGAGGCUGUCAGGAUGAGGCCAGCAUAAACUGCAAUUAGAAUCAGGGAGGUUGAAGAUGAGAGGCAGAACACCAGAGGUAUCUGGUCUACCAUCCAUCACAGAGAAUGUGGGCCAGGCCCCUUCCUGACUUGACCCUUGGAAUGACUGAGAUACAAAGAGAGGAAGGGUAUGUGGCCUUAGGCCACGCUGUGGCAGAGAAAAGUUCAGGGCUUUCCUACAUUCCUUUAUCUGCUCUCUCCUACCUUGAGGGGUCCCCUGACCUGUAGCCUUCAAGGCACUUAUGCAAUGGCAACUCCUGAAAUUUCCACUGCAUCACUGCCUGUCUGCAGGACUCCCCUGCCCUACAGCCUGAGUCUUAUAGCUUCCCAGUAGUCCCACCAAUUGCCAUUAAAUCUCCCACUCCUUACUGGGAGAACUCUACUUACUGUGUCAAGGCAAAAAGGUGAUUAAACUCUCUCACAUGGUUGUAAUUUGGGCCUAAAAUAAAUGACUCUAGUGGUAGCAUUUCAGGUAGGCAGAUCCAAGGAAGAAAGAUUUGUAGACAGAGUUGGGAAGAGGGUCAAAAAGCCAAUGAGUCUCCCUAUCCUGAGACAUGCCUUGAUGGAGCCGCAAACUGAACUCAUGUUUUCCUGAAUCUAUCGUAUUUCAUGUGACAGGAUGGAAAUGCUUCCUUUCUUAGCCAGUGUUGCUUGUAACGAGUUCCCUGCAGCUCAGGGAAGAGAGCAACAUGUACUGCUUUGUUGCUUCCUGUAUAGAGAGGGCAGGAAUGAGGAAGUUCAUAGAACACUGUCCUGAGCAGCUGCCACAGGAGACCCACCCCAGGCUCUGCGUGCAGAAAGGCACAUGGCAAGAAAUUCCCAUCCUGCACAUAUGGGUGUGAUGGACACCCUUACUUCUUGGACUUAAGUUCUGAGGCAGCUAGACUGAAAAGGGCUCCUGCUUGAUUUAAACAAUUGAGCUCUUCCUCUUGGCUCAAGUAUCUUGUUGCCUCUUGCCCUGGCUUUGCCACUGAACUUGGGCAAGUCUGAGCCAAUGCUGAAUGAAUAACAGAAGAUGCUGGUCCCAUUUAUUUCAUGUACUGUGCCUCUGAGAGCCGGUCAAAGUCUUGGAGGUGAAAACGAACUGCCAACUGAUUGACCAUUUUUCUCAAGGAUUGUUCUUAUUUUUUUUUUUCCAACACAUGGUGUGAAGAUUAAUGGAAGUUCAAGGUGAUUGGAGACAAGUGUAAUACGAUGUCAACAGGGCUGUUCUCUGAUCCCUGACUGAGGUCCAAAGCUGUGCACAGAAGGGGAGACGGUGUUUCACCAUGUUGGCCAGGCUGAU